CGAUAAAUCCGCAUAAAAGGACAUCCUAUGGCGACUGAGAUUAUUCGAGAACACAUCUGGAAAAUGUAAAAAUGUAAAAAUCAAUGAAUCAUCAUGAUUAAUCAUCAUAAAUUCUGAUAACAAUUCGAUUCGACAAAUUCUCAACUUUUAGUUUUAAACUAAUUUUAAAACUAGUGGAAAACCUCAUUGUAUUGUUUACCACGUUAACUGCACUGAGAGAAAGCGAAGCUUAAGGCAACAUUGGGCCCCCGUGUGUUUAGAAAACGAUGUGAAUAUGUUAUACACUCGAGUAAUGUUCACAUGGUAAAUUUUUGUUAGACAACUAAACAAUUAAUUUUUCU
rnacentral:lncRNA from 1 species